CAAAUUGCAUUUGUUAGUGAAAAUGGUUAAUUUCAAGUAAGGGCAAAAUUGGAAUUUCACAUGCCAGCUCAUUGCCACCUCUUUGACAGCUCACACAACUUUCAAAUGCCAUGUGUGAGCUGUUGCCACUUGUUUCACCUUCAUUGGAUAUGCCAUUCUCAUUUUCACUAUGUAAUUGCACUUUGUCCAAUUUUUGCACUUUCAUUCUACAAGUCAAAUUCC
rnacentral:lncRNA from 1 species